AGAUAUCAAACACACCUAAAUCAGCUAUUGUUGAUAUACAGCAAAUACUCUCAAACUUUUACAUCCAGUCUGAAGCUUCAGAAGGAAAACGGAUCUUUCACUUUUGAAAAAGGUUAACGAGAGGUGAGGAAGGUUCUCUUUUACUACUCUGUUCUGGGAAACAGGACAACUCUUGCUCUGGAGAGAUAACAUGUGCGUGUGCCUGCAAACUCCAUGAGGAGAUGCCAUCCUGAGGUGGAGAAUGCCAUCCAUGGAACUCAGUAAACUGAAUUUCACAGUUAAGAAUGCCCUCUUUUUCUACCUGCUGUAACAAUAAGUGGCCGCAUCCAAAAUAACUGCUAACUUUUAAGGCUAUACCCUUCAAACAAAUAGUUUUGGUUUGUAUAUUAGAUACAAAGCAUUCAAAUACAUUUAUAGUGGCUGCAAUCCUGUGUAAUAAGCCUGAGUAAUAAGCGGUUACAAUCCUGUGUAAUAGGCUUGUGAGGUAUUACAGCUGCUUUUCCUUUUAAUGAUGCAGUGAAGCAUACAAGGAUCUUUAGCAGUUCAUGGUUUAACAUCAAGAAGACAAGUUGGCUUGCUUACUAUCCUUACAGUUAUGAUCGAUAGCUAUAACCUUAAAUGUAUUUACUAGGAAGCAAAUCUGAAUUCAGUGGAACUUGCUUCUGAAUAAACAUGUUUAGGAUUGUAGAGCAAAUGAAUAUCCAUCAUUAAAGAUGCACCAGGAGGAAGGAGUUGAUCAGCCCUCUUUCCCUUUAUGAAACUGCUUGGAAAGGAGCACAAAGCAGAGAAAUGAUAUCUCAUGUUUGAUCAGCUGCCUCAGUGCUUGAUUGUGCUAUGAAACUAAUGCAUCUGUUGAGACUUAGAUAUGCUUGGCAUCAUCAUUUUUCCAAGGAAUUAAAUACCUGGAUUUGUGAGCUUCUCUUCAAGUUCUGCCUGAGUGGUGACACUUUCAGACUUUGGAGAAUGGAUUAUGAGAACAACAGAACCUGCACAGCUCAGCAGACAGCCCAAUUUGCCAAGAAUGUUGAGUUUUUCUUUCAAUAAGUAGGAAGCUAAAAUGGAGCUUUCAAAAAGAAGUUGGAAGAGAACAUUUUAAUUCACGAUUUCAGUGCUGUUAAAUUUUAAUAAAAUGCAUUAUUCAUC